UUAAAGAGUUCUAUAACUCCCAAACCCAUGUGAACAUACCUAACGUUGCCUCGGCAGGUCGCACCUACCUUGUAGCACCCUACCCUGUAGGGCCUACCCGGGAGGUGCGGGUAAGCCUGCCGGCGGCCCACCAAACUCUGUUUGAUAUUGAAUUCUGAACCUAUAACUAAAUAAGUUAAAACUUUCAACAACGGAUCUCUUGGUUCUGGCAUCGAUGAAGAACGCAGCGAAAUGCGAUAAGUAAUGUGAAUUGCAGAAUUCAGUGAAUCAUCGAAUCUUUGAACGCAUAUUGCGCCCAUUAGUAUUCUAGUGGGCAGGACCGUUCGAGCGUCAUUUCAACCCUUAAGCCUUCGUUGCUUAGUGUUGGGAGCCUACGGCAACGUAGCUCCUCAAAGUUAGUGGCGGAGUUGGUUCACACUCUAGACGUAGUAAUUUUUUAUCUCGCCUAUUAGUUGGACUAAUCCCCUGCCGUAAAACCCCCAAUUUAUCAAGGUUGACCUCGAAUCGGUUCAGACAAACUCGCUAAAUUGAAGCAUCUUAGUCAGCGAAGGAAAAAAAACCAACAGGGAUUGCCCUAGUAACGG
rnacentral:rRNA from 1 species